UACAAGUUCAUGCAAUUGAUUCAUUCCUGC
rnacentral:piRNA from 1 species